AGAGUUUGAUCCUGGCUCAGGAUGAACGCUGGCGGCGUGCCUAAUACAUGCAAGUCGAACGGAGGAGUAGCAAUACUUUCUCAGUGGCGAACGGGUGAGUAACGCGUUGGUGACCUGCCCCGAAGUGGGGGACAACAGCUCGAAAGGGCUGCUAAUACCCCAUGUGAUCAUCGGUUUUAGAAUCUGGUGAUUAAAGGAGAAAUUCGCUUCGGGAGGGGCCUGCGUCCCAUCAGCUAGUUGGUAAGGUAACGGCUUACCAAGGCGAUGACGGGUAGGGGACCUGAGAGGGUGACCCCCCACAAUGGAACUGAAACACGGUCCAUACACCUACGGGUGGCAGCAGUAGGGAAUAUUGGUAAUGGGCGAAAGCCUGAACCAGCAACGCCGCGUGUGCGAUGAAGGCCUUCGGGUUGUAAAGCACUUUUUGAGGGGAUGAGGAAGGACAGUACCCUCAGAAUAAGUCUCGGCUAACUACGUGCCAGCAGCCGCGGUAA
rnacentral:rRNA from 1 species